rnacentral:rRNA from 1 species
UACGAAGGGGGCUAGCGUUGCUCGGAAUCACUGGGCGUAAAGCGCACGUAGGCGGAUUGUUAAGUCAGGGGUGAAAUCCUGGAGCUCAACUCCAGAACUGCCUUUGAUACUGGCGAUCUUGAGUCCGGGAGAGGUGAGUGGAACUGCGAGUGUAGAGGUGAAAUUCGUGGAUAUUCGCAAGAACACCGGUGGCGAAGGCGGCCAACUGGACUGGUAUUGACGCUGAGGCGCGAAAGCGUGGGGAGCAAACAGG